rnacentral:rRNA from 1 species
AGCGAACGCUGGCGGCAGGCCUAACACAUGCAAGUCGAACGAACCUUUCGGGGUUAGUGGCGGACGGGUGAGUAACACGUGGGAACGUGCCUUUAGGUUCGGAAUAACUCAGGGAAACUUGUGCUAAUACCGAAUGUGCUCUUCGGGGGAAAGAUUUAUCGCCUUUAGAGCGGCCCGCGUCUGAUUAGCUAGUUGGUUGAGGUAAUGGCUCACCAAGGCGACGAUCAGUAGCUGGUCUGAGAGGAUGAUCAGCCACAUUGGGACUGAGACACGGCCCAAACUCCUACGGGAGGCAGCAGUGGGGAAUCUUGCGCAAUGGGCGAAAGCCUGACGCAGCCAUGCCGCGUGAAUGAUGAAGGUCUUAGGAUUGUAAAAUUCUUUCACCGGGGACGAUAAUGACGGUACCCGGAGAAGAAGCCCCGGCUAACUUCGUG